UACGUAGGGGGCAAGCGUUGUCCGGAAUCAUUGGGCGUAAAGCGCGUGUAGGCGGCCCGGUAAGUCCGCUGUGAAAGUCGGGGGCUCAACCCUCGAAUGCCGGUGGAUACUGUCGGGCUAGAGUGCGGAAGAGGCGAGUGGAAUUCCUGGUGUAGCGGUGAAAUUCGUAGAUAUCGGGAGGAACACCAGUGGCGAAGGCGGCGAUCUGGGUCGAUACUGACGCUGAGGUGCGAAAGCGUGGGGAGCAAACAGG
rnacentral:rRNA from 1 species